AAUAUUCAAGAGCAUAUCUGAAUGCUAAAGUCUUUAGCUGGAAACAUGUGAGAACAUAUUUGCACAACACCAGGCAAGGAAAUGUGGUUCUAAAUUCUAAUCUGUAAUGGAUUUUGGGACUUGUGGUAGAUAGAGGUCAUAAUGGAGCUAGUACAUAUAUUUAAGUGGAUCUUCGAGGAUUUAAACCCAAUUGUGUAUCUUGAUUGUUAAACAACGAACAUUGAAUAAAAC
rnacentral:lncRNA from 1 species